ensembl:lncRNA
CAUUUUAGCACAAUGACAAAAUGGCAUAAUUUCAGUUCAGUCUCAUUUAAAUCAUGACAAAAAGCCACACCUUUAUAUGUGUUUGAAUACCUCAUGAUGUUUUGCUGCAGUCAUUGCAAAAUAAAUCAUGAAUCCUGAAGUACUCCUUGCCCCAUGAGAGGAAAUCCUUAGCAAAAGUGUCUAACAGCAUUGAGCCCAUGGGAUCCAACAGGGUUACUUAUGUGAGCUGAAAUAUUUAAUGGUUGUAAUGAUGCUCCUCACUGCACUCUUAAGGUCAGUGUCACACUAGAUCACCUCAAUGUCUCACAUAACAGAUAGAACUCUUAAUCAUAUCUAUUAAAGAGCAACAGUCCUUAACAAAUGUAAUGAAUUAGAUCAACUAUGAAACAGCCACACCUGCCACUUGUAACAUCAAGUAAGAACUAUGCACUUUACAAAAAUUAGAGACUAGCAGAAUAUGAGACAAAACAUCCCACUGACAGACCGACUGACUCAAAAGGCAGUAACACACAGGCAACUCACAGAGCCCAACAAUUAACUGAGAAACACAUCAAUUUAAAUGUUCACAUUUUCUUCCUCUGGUAAUGGAUCCAAACUAGAUACUUGGAGAAAUUAAUAUUUAUUAUGGAGGUUAAUAAUAAGUUAAAGGUAUGACACUACUGAUAUAAUUUUUAAAACAAACAAACAAAAAACCCCCAAAAAACUGAACAUAUCUGGAAUUUUUAGGUGCUGAAUGCUAAAAUCUUUCAUGUCAGCUUGAACUGUUAGAAGCCUACAAAAGCCAAACCAAAACCAUAGGAAGCUUUCUAAGCUGUAAGUUAGACCUUUACCCACAGUGAAGCAGGAAAUUAGUCCAUUACAAUAAUAUCAGAAUUAAAAUGCUUCAGUGCUUCACCUCCACUGUCUGCUACUACAAAACACACAUGCCUAGAAAUAAGGAUUGUUCAGGAUGAACAUCAUGGAAAAUUACUCAAAGUCACAUCACAAUUUCAGGUUCAUUCACUCCAGCAGUUUGCAACUGAAUCAAGUUGGCACUUUUACCUAAGAUGGGAACAUUUUUAUGCAUGAAAUGUAAACUUUAUUUGUCUCAAGGAAAGCAAAAACAUGUUUUUGUUGUGCAGCUCUAGAGAAAUGCAGCACACAAGGUUAAAAAACAAAACAAAACUUAAGCACAGUUUCCAGGAAAGCCGAACUUAAUGAAACUCAUUCUUCUAGUGACAGUUCAAAGGUACAAUGGAAAACAACAACAAAGAAAACAAUGCUGCACAACUUCAUUACAUCACUCACCGUACAUUCAGCAUUCCUACAGUAACAACAGCCUCAUUGUCAUUAACGGCAUCUCACCUCUGUACAGCAUUCUUGUGCAACACCUGCCACAGAGUGAUCUGCUAUAACUAGAUGUGGACAUAAGUUGCGCACCCUCCCCCCCGAGAUGCUUCACCAAAUACAAACCUACAUACUUAGAUCAGCUGACACGUCUGCAUUUUAUCUUUAACGGCUACAAACCACCAAGCUACUCCUCACUACUUACACUAACUACAGUGCACCUUCUCCAUCUAUCACCCCACAAAAGCACCUUUAACCCUUCAUUAAAACUUGACUUUAAACAUAAAAAAGGAAAUAAAACUCAGGAGCCUCACAUGGUGAACAUUGAAUAGGUUAACAGCACAUUAUUUGAUAUAAAUGAAAAACUACAUUGUAUAAAAUAUGAAUGCGACAUACAUUAUAACCUCAUCAUGAUAUAAUGUUAUUCAUAACUUUUGACUUAUUAUAUUUAUAGAAAUCUUUACUUAAAAUUCCCUUGCAGCCAAUCAUAUGUCACCAGGUUGUUACACAGAGCUGUUAAAUUUAGUCAGUUUUCAUUGGCUAUGGCAGAAACAGGAAUUCAGAUUGAGCCAACUGCAUAAAAAACUACAGUAGCUGCUGUUUGUUCUGAUGACAGUUUUCAGCUGUUUUUCACACCAAGUUUUUUUUGUUUGUGAGUUGAAUUAAAUAAUAUCACAAAGAACAAUUUGAUUGGUUAAACCAAAUAGUAGAUCUAGCUAAGUUGCUGGGCUAACUAGCUUCAUUUUACUUUCCUCAUAAGAGGAUAACUCACAAAACUCGGGUCUACAUUUGUAAAAUUUGUAUAUAAACCUACAUUUACAUUUGUCCGCACCUUUUAUAUGUCCUGCUCGUGUUGCAACUUUGAAGUGACAACAUACCUCACGUGAACAAAAUGGCAGAAUGUGACCUUUGACCUUUGUCUUUUGUCAUGAUUUGGAAACUCUCUGAAUCAAAUUAUUUUACAAGCAGUGACCACAACACAUCUGAUCAAUUACAACACAGUAAAACAUAAUGUUACAUAUCAGUAAAUACAAUUAAAUGAAUAUCACUUUUUUAAUAUAUAAAAACAUCACCCAAAGCUGUAACAGCAAAACAUAAAUGAAGAGAAUAACAUGAAUUAGAAAAAACGUUGAUGCGUGAUCUCCUUAACUAAGCACAAUGUGUUCAUCCCCUUGGUUUGUUUCCAGUUAGUAAAACAAAAUCAGGAUAUGUAAAAACAACAAUAUAUAGGCAUUGAAUAAAUUAAUCAAUUUAAAUCCCAACACAGUGAUAUAUAUUCAAAAUACAUAUUUACAGCCUAUUAAAAUAAAAGAGAGAGAGACAAAAAAAUAAGUCCUAAAGGGAAAACGUUUCUUGAAUGAAUUUUAAUUGACUGUUAGCACUUCAUGCUGAAUACUUUCACAAUGUCCACCUCUUUACCGAGCUCACUCAUACUCACGUAUAUAAUUGUGAAUUUACCAUAAAUAGACAAGUAUUUUAGUAGGCUAAAACUUUUGCAGCAUUUAGUAAGUUGAUAUGCACUUGGUACAUGGAAAUCCAAAUCUGACAUCAUUUGUGACUGAUAUGUUAAAAUACUAUGUGCCGGUGGCUACAAAGGAAAAAGCUAAGUUAUGCCUAACAUAGACACCGCCUCUCAUGGAGUCAGAGGUGCUGUGCCAUGUGGUGAGACUCAUGGAAGGUAAAGAAAAAAACAAAACAAAGCACAAAAACAACAAAAGGGUGCAGCACAGCAACAUUUCAGUUGCUGACUAUGAAUAACCUCAAUUAAAACAUUUAAAUUAAGCUAUAAUCAGGAGCUAGAACAUCAGACAGUUUGAUUUUUUUUAUUUCAAACUACUAACAAACUACCACAUAGUUUUAUGUUCAUUGCUUACUUAAAUUCUGAGAGAGCGAGGAAAAAAAUAAAAGUCACUUAGUCACAUACAUCUAAAUCCACAAACUGCUGUUCAAAAAGCAGUUGAAAAAUAAAUAAAAAGAAAAAAAAAAUCUUCUAAUCUUCCUUUGCUGACUUUUUUUGAACAACAGUGGAAACACAUGCCAAAAAAAAAAAAAAAAAAGAUCUCUUCACAGGAAUUGGUAAGUGGCGAUCAAACAUUCAUGGCCGAUAAUUUCACUCAUUUUAACACUGAAAGACCAUUACCCACAGGUCAUAGCAGUGAGUACAACUGCCUCCCCUUGCCUGACAAAAUGCUCAUGGUUCAGGUCUGACAGAUGCAGUGGUCCCACUUUGUGUUCAACAGGCUAAAUAAGGAAGGCAGCCACCGCUUCACUUGGGGUCUGGCCUAGUCUGGACUCUGAGGGGAAAAUCCACCCAGAAAUACUUUGACACUGUUCAACAAAACAUCCGUCUGGUGAUACUGUUCAUCUAAGAAAAAGUUUACUGAAAACACGUCCUGUAGCUGAAGUUAAAUUUCAGUCUACUUUAGUUUCUCCUUGUGUAAAUGUUUGAGUUUAAAGCAACACAACCGGUGAGGGUUUAUUGUUAACUCAGAAACUGGUUGAUGUUGUCAAAAAGUCAAAAAUGUAGAUGUUGCUAUCCAAGGUUACUGUACUAACAUGGUAAUCCAACAGAUAUCUGAUGUUUAAAGAGUGAUAAUAUUCGGUGAUUUAAAAUUUAAUGUAGUGCUGGCUGAUGUUUUUCUUCUUUCAAACAUAUGAAACAUAUACAGAUUUUCCAAACAUUUGUUGUGUAUAGUUGUUUUUUACUCAUGUUGUACCUGAUUCUGCUUGGAUCAGCUGAUUGUGUUUAUGGCAUUCCAAAAAUCACUCCCAUUGUGUUUUGUGAGCUUUUUUUCUACUUCAGUUGGUUUGUGUGCCUUUGGAUUUUUUUUUUCUGUUUCCUGGUGUCUUCUUAAGUCCCAGUGCAUUUGACCUCUCAGGGCCACCAUACAAAUAACCAUUACUGUCAAUAUUGGUUGACUGAUAUAUUACAGCACUGCACACACACAGUGAAAACUAAACUGAAUCAAUGAUUGAGACCUGAUUACAAGUUUUAAACAAUGUUCACGCCCAUCCACUGUUGAAAAAUUGUAAUCCCCCCAAUAAUAAUGUCAGUGUCAUCAGUUUUAUGUUGGAAUGGGGCCACAAUCCUCUGGUGACCAUGAGUGUGUGAACCACAUUUCCUGUCAAUCAGUUCAGUAAGUAUUGAUAUACUUUACUAUAGACCCAACUGGUGAAGAAUGCAUAAAAGCUAAACCUCAGAUCGAUUUAAGACGUAGCGUAUCUAUAAUAGUGUUAAAGUAUUUAGAGGUGGAUUAUUCCAGUACUAUAAAAAGCUUGAUCUGGCCUUGAUUAGCUGGACGCUUUAUAUAUAAAAAAUAAAUGUCCAGCGUUGGUGGUUAACCUCAGCAUAUGAUUGCAUUCAUUAAAGGACUUUUGACUAAGACUUGGCUUGCUAAAGAGCAGAAUGUGAGCUUUACAGUAUAGUUGGUCUAACAAGGUAUAAUUCCCCAGUUUCAAACAAUGAACAUUGGAAAACAAACACUUUUCUUUCCAAACACUGCACAGUUCCUUAAAAGUGCCACUCCAUCCAGUACAUACAUCAUGCAAUGUCAACACAAGAAUAUCAGGAUCUUUGUCAAACACCCUGACUAGUCACAAUUAAAGAGCUCAGUUCCUUAGAUUAAGCGGUUUGUUGGGAGGUUAUGUUACAGUGCAGUUUUCCUACAGACAUAAAUGCAUAGGAUACAAAUCAGUUAAACACUACAAUAAACGUCAAGCAAUACAAAAAAGAAAAGGAGAAAAAGAACAGAAGCAGAUCACAAAAGCUGUGAUCGAAAUAAAAGUCUUGGUCAUUGGCACUGGGGGUCGGAGUGGAAGGGAAGCGGGGAGGUAGCGGGGCUGGAAUAAAUAACUAGUCAUACACUGAUAAGAUUUAUAUGUGGUUGCCUCGUUUUUGGAUCCUACAGCUGUGAGGACAACAAAGACAGGUGCAGAAACAGACCACAAACAUUCUGUACACACUAACACUGAAGUCCUUAGCUAAUUUCAGAAUAAAAGUAGCGUCACUCUCUAAAAAAGUGAGAGCCGUUUGGUGAUCGACUUGACGUGCGCGCCCGGCGCCUGACUCCGCCUCGCACACAAACUCUCACAGUUCUGGAAAAUUUGGGGGGUAAACACAAAGUGUGCUAAGGCUUCAUCGUGGGGAUAAGAGAUACACAGUGUUCAAAAGAGCAGUUAUUAUAGUUUAGUUUCAACAGUCUUGCUAGCGAUUGUGUUUGGUGCAUGGCAGGAAUGGCAUAGUCAGCUUAGGUUAGGUUAUGAGCCGCUGUGUGCAUUAGAGAUCCUUGUCACAAUUAUGUACACUUUAAUAAAUGUAUGUGUUACUGUCACAUGCCAUGUUUUUUUGUCUUUCUUUCUGAUGCUGUCUGCCAUUCUGCACCUUGACUUGAACCUUUAUUUUUCCCACAGGCCUUAACUUGUCUACCAGUCAGAGAGAAAUCACAUGCGGGUCAGUUAUUUCCUGUGCAACAAAUGAAACGAAAAAAAUUACUUUAUGUAUAAAUACCGCAUGGGAAUCUUUUUACAUAGUAUAUAUGAUAUCUUAUAUAUUCUGUCAAAAUAUACUUUUCAGUUUUCUAGAGUAGUCCAAAGUUUGUUUUUCAUCUCACUUUCAACUCAUGAUACUGAUCAGUUAAAAUUAGGGUGAAAGUCGGCACACACAGUGGAAAUUUGCUGCUAGAGUCGAGCUCUCAAUAUAUUAUUUCUUCUAUGUUAUCUUGUAAUAUAUUAUUUGUAUAUCAGCAUCUCUAAUCAGCUCAUACAAAAG